UACGAAGGGGGCUAGCGUUGCUCGGAAUGACUGGGCGUAAAGGGCGCGUAGGCGGAUGGCACAGUCAGAUGUGAAAUUCCUGGGCUUAACCUGGGGGCUGCAUUUGAUACGUGUGAUCUAGAGUGAGGAAGAGGGUUGUGGAAUUCCCAGUGUAGAGGUGAAAUUCGUAGAUAUUGGGAAGAACACCGGUGGCGAAGGCGGCGACCUGGUCCUUAACUGACGCUGAGGCGCGAAAGCGUGGGGAGCGAACAGG
rnacentral:rRNA from 1 species